AUGCCCCUAAGAACACGUCUGUAUUUGCUCAGCCCUCCAGUGUGAUCGAUGCGGGCCGUCCUCUGACUCUGACCUGCAGCAGCCAGGCCAACCCGGCGGUGGACAACUAACUACAUGUAGUUCAGGAUCAAUGCGGCUGACGCCUGGGUAACGCGAUCGGGCCCUAGCUACACCUUCGCUGAGGUCAGCCCCGGGGAGAGCGGUCAGUACUACUGCAAGGCACGCAACCGCAUCGGCGUCCAUAGCUCGCCUGUCCUCACUGUCAGGGUCAGAGGCAGACUGAAGGUUAUCGCCCUGGCCUCAGCUGUGGGCGUGUCUGCUGGUCUCAUCACUCUCACUGUGGCCAUCAUGAUCAGCAAAAACAUGCACAGAGUAGAC